AAUAAAAUGCCUGAAAAAGGAUUACUUUGAUAGAGUAAAUAAUGUAUUUAUAUACUUUUAUUA
rnacentral:tRNA from 1 species